rnacentral:misc_RNA from 1 species
GAAAUGCGAUAAGUAAUGUGAAUUGCAGAAUUCAGUGAAUCAUCGAAUCUUUGAACGCACCUUGCGCUCCUGGUAUUCCUUGGAGCAUGCCUGUUUGAGUAUCAUGAAAUCUUCAAAGUAAAUCUUUUGUUAACUCAAUUGGUUUCUACUUUGGUAUUGGAGGUCUUUGCAGCUUCACACCUGCUCCUCUUUGUUCAUUAGCUGGAUCUCAGUGUUAUGCUUGGUUCCACUCGGCGUGAUAAGUUAUCUAUCGCUGAGGACACUGUAAAAGGUGGCCAAGGUAAAUGCAGAUGAACCGCUUCUAAUAGUCCAUUGACUUGGACAAUACUUUUAUGAUCUGAUCUCAAAUCAGGUAGGACUACCCGCUGAACUUAAGC